UACCAUGCUGAAUAUACCGGUUCACGUUAGAUCACCGAAGUUAAGUAUCAUUGGGCGCGGUCAGUACUUGGGUGGGUGACCACCUGGGAACACUGCGUGCCGUU